CAUGACACUCUAUACUACUCUAUGCGGGAACUAGGGCUGACUAUCCACUACAAUCAGUUAAUGCAACUAAACAUUUCAUAUCAUCAUCAUUUCCAAGCAUUCACAAUUCUCGACGUUUCUAACAACCUAGCGAUCAACCAAUACAAUGACCUCACUCAUUGCCACACACAUCAGAACAUAGACUUAACCGACUCGACAUACAAGACUGACUCCAUCUUAUGACACCUUUAACACCCAAAUACCCGACCAUGAACUAAUGACACCUACCAUGCACGUUUUUAUAUCCCGCCUCUCGCGGCUGGCUCGUCUUCUCGUUCUCCGUGGGUAGCUCUCGCUAGACCACUAC
rnacentral:lncRNA from 1 species